GGAUCGCGCCUCUCUCAGGCCUUGUCUAGAAGGGGCCACCCGCUUAUGAAAGUAAGGAAUGUUGCAGUCACGUGCCACAAGCCCCAGUGGCCUAAUGGAUAAGGCACUGGCCUCCUAAGCCAGGGAUUGUGGGUUCGAGUCCCACCUGGGGUAAAACUAACGAAUAGUUUCUUUUGAGACGGAGUCUCUCUCUGUUGCCCAGGCUGGAGUGAUCCAGCGAGCACAUCUCGGAUCACAGCAACCUCCGUCUCCCGAGUUCAAGCGAUUCUUCUGCCUCAGCCUCCAGAGUAGCUGGGAUUACAGGCAUACGCCAGCACGUCCAGCUAAUUUUUGUAUUUUUAGUAGAGCAGGUUUCACCAUAUUGGCCAGGCUGGUCUCAAACUUCUGACCUCAGGGACGCUGGAAUUGACCUGGGUCUCUGGUUCGACUCCCGUGCAACGCGUUGAGGUGGAGCCACCUCCUCCAAGCACCUAAAGCCGAAAUGCCUCCCGAUCCCUCCACACCGCGGUUCUCGCGAUCCGAAGCUGGGAAGCUGCUUCUGUCCAAUCAGGCUUUGCACCCGGGACCCUUCUGCUUACUACGUCAUUGAUCAGCCUGUGGCGUCUCCAUCUAAGACACAUGUGAUCAGUUAUCUACAUUGUGAAUCUCUGGUGGUCUAAUGGUUAAGCACUGACCUCUGAAAUUGGCUGUUUGGAGUUUGAAACUCACCUGGGGUUGUGUUGCUGGCGCUGUUUUUAAAACCCACUUUAAUAAAAGUAAUUCUUAAAAAAAAAAGAAAAAAAUCUAGGCUGGGCACAGUGGCUCACACCUGUAAUCCCAGCACUUUGGGAAGCCGAGGUGGGCAGAUCACAAGGUCAGGAGAUUGAGACUAUCCUGGCCAACAUGGUAAAACCCCGUCUCUAAUAAAAGUACAAAAAUUAUCAGGGCAUGAUGGCCUGUGCCUGUAAUCCCAACUACUUGGGAGACUGAGGCAGAAGAAUCACUUGAACCAGGGGGUUGGAGGUUGCAGUGAGCCAGUAUCAUGCCACUGCACUCCAUCCUAGCGACAGAAAAAGACUGUCUCAAAAGAAAAAAAAUCUGUAAUGUAAAAAACAAAAACCAACUGGCACAUUUUGUCUUUUUAAUAAUACUUAGCUACAUUUUGUGCAUAUGUCUAUUUCAAUUAAUUUUCCUUUUCUUCUGUAUGAAGCCAGACUUCAAACCAACGUGAGAGCAAGUCGGGCCCCAUUUCUUUUUGCCUCUCUUAGCUGGUACCUGGAAUGAGUUCAACAUUCAAACAUUCACCUCCUGAAUGUGUUCUACAAGCUACAAACCCACAAGCAACUGAAAUGGAGCGGGUUAUGUUUCAAUCUAUUGUAUUGCAGUUAAACAGCAGACAGAACUCAGUCCCUGGACUCAAGGGCAAUGGGGGUGCAGCCCAACUCUGUGGCCUCAGUCCUGCUAGUGGCUCUGUCUACAGUGAUACGGCACCCACCACCCCACUGCCCUAUGCUUGGAAGAGGGUGCCAGGAUGCAUGUGUGUGCAAGGGUAUUUGGACAUCGGGCAGAAUAAAUGCCAAUCUUUGUACCAGAGUCUGGCAUGAAGAAGAUGGCACAUUCCCACUGGGUAAUCCAAGGAGCGUUUAAAGGAGUCCCGUUUCGUACGGGCAGGUGUAAGGAAACGUGAGGACUCCAGGAUGGGCAUUAGUGAUGAGCUGUCCUCAUCACCAGGCCUGAAGGGUCACAAAAGGCAGCAGCUCCUGGAACCUGGAGAUUGGGUAUUGAGAGUCGCCCCCAGGAGCUAAGAGUCCAGAGAUGCAGAGAGCCCACGGCUACCUUGAUAUCACAGGGAGGGAGCCGAGGGAAUAAAUGCCCACCUUCAUCUUCCUUUUUCCCUCCACUAUCCUGCUGCUGAGGCUUGGCCUGAAGCCAGUGGGAGCUUGGUGGGGCCUCUCAGACUCGGGCAGAGGAGCCAAGGAAGAGCGGAGAGUCGGGCUGCUGGGUCAAAGAGAUGUCAUCAGGCAUUCAGAGUUUGCCCAAAAAAAGCCUUCAUUUUACUCAUAACCCUCACAGCAACCCUGAGAGGGAGGAAGGGGGUUGAUGGAUGGGAGGAAGGAGUGGAGGGAGUAGGUGAAAAGAAGUGACAAUGGUGCUACCCUGUGUUGGGGGAACUUCAGAAGCGCUUUGGGGAGCUGCUCAAUUCUGUUUCCCACGGGAAUGGGUCUGUUCCCUUGUAAAACAUCAGAGCUCUGAAAUGAUGUUCUCAAUAAUGUAUGCAUUUUAUUAUACUUUAGUAAACUGCUUUGUUUUGUUUUUGUGAGUCUCGCUCUUGUCACCCAGGCUAGAGUGCAAUGGCAAGAUCUCGGCUCACUGAAACCUCCACCUCCUGGGUUCAGGUGAUUCUCAUGCCUCAGCCUCCUAUGUAGCUGGGAUUACAGAUGCCCACCACCACACCCAGCUAAUUUUUGUAUUUUUAGUAGAGAUGGGGUUUCGCCAUGUUGGCCAGCCUGGUUUCAAACUCCUGAGCUCAAGCCAUUCUCCCACACUGGCCUCCCAAAGUGCCGGGAUUACGGAUGUGAGCAACCAUACCCAGCCUCUUCUCUUUUAUUCAUAAUAAAUUUACAUUAAAAUUCUUCUAAGUGUCAAGCACAGUGUUAGUCCCUGAGGAAUGUAUGACUAAGGUACAGUGCCAGCACUCAACAAAGAAUGCUCUAGAAGCCUCUAGAUCUUUCUAAUCUUUUAGUGUGAGCAGGAAUUGCAAAUGCUUGAUGGGAAGUGUGGAGUAGGAGGUACAGUUAGCAAUUUGCUGAGGUUAUAAUGGGAGGAGAACAGUGCAUAAGAGAGGGCCUAAGAGCCUUACCUCCAAGGUAGAGAGACUGCAUUUGAUCCUGUAGGCAGUGUGGAGCCAGGGGAGGGUUUUACUCGAGGAGUCAAGUGCACGAAUUUGCUUUUGGAAAAGCUCCCCUUGGCGGCAAUAUGAAGAAUGGAUUGAAGGUGGGUGAGAGUACAGGCAGUGAGGCCACUUUUAGGGUGAGGCAUGAUGGCUUCAGGAGGAAAUUACCAAGGCCUGAACACAGGUGACAGCAGUGACACCCAGAGGAAAGUAAAAGAGGAGAUUCUUAUCAAGUGGACUGUGGGGGGUGGUGCUUGACUGAGGGGGAUUAAAGAGCCUAGGAGGAGCCUGAGACGUUUUCCUAGGAUUCUGGAGGGAGGUGAUGUCACAUCCGCAGACA